GUGAAUUCCAUUUUUACGGUCAUGUCAUCAUGAACUUUUCAGUGUGCUUCUUAGAAAAUAGCACGCAGUUUCUUUGUGGAAUCGUAUGGUCAUGGCACGGAUAUUCUUGAGCCAACGCUGAUUUUUGUGCAUGACCAACGUUCUGCUCCAUCCUUAUCUUCCCGACGUAAGCUCAUCCAGUUUCUGCUUCAUCGCUUCGUACACAAAAAUCCAACUUGUCUUACUUCACUGACGAGUUUGAACACUUCAGUGGUCGCUUCCGUGCCGCUGUUACACACCUGCAGUCACUCGCCACGGGAUUAUGCCCAGGUAAUGCAGAAAAGACGUCGAGAAGAUGGACAGCAAAACAUCUCCGUUAUCUCCUAAAUAUCAGCGCAGAUCAUCAUUUGUUGUUGGUAAUAUUUGUGUUUGUGUUAGUUAACCCGUUGUCU